UAGCAUCCACUGAUAGGCCUGUUGCCGUAAUCUGUGGCCUCUGGGUUUGCACAAGGAUGCAACAGUAAUUUUCCUUAUGAUGUCUAGCCAUCUGAAUGGUGGCUGGAGAGGAUUGAAUGGAGGAGAACAGGA